GUCUACGGCCAUACCACCCUGAACGCGCCCGAUCUCGUCUGAUCUCGGAAGCUAAGCAGGGUCGGGCCUGGUUAGUACUUGGAUGGGAGAAGACGAAUAUCGUCUCCA
rnacentral:rRNA from 1 species